rnacentral:rRNA from 1 species
GAUGAACGCUGACAGAAUGCUUAACACAUGCAAGUCAACUUGAAUUUGGGUUUUUAACUUAGGUUUGGGUGGCGGACGGGUGAGUAACGCGUAAAGAACUUGCCUCACAGCUAGGGACAACAUUUGGAAACGAAUGCUAAUACCUAAUAUUAUGAUAAUAGGGCAUCCUAUAAUUAUGAAAGCUAUAAGCGCUGUGAGAGAGCUUUGCGUCCCAUUAGCUAGUUGGAGAGGUAACGGCUCACCAAGGCGAUGAUGGGUAGCCGGCCUGAGAGGGUGAUCGGCCACAAGGGGACUGAGGCACGGCCCUUACUCCUACGGGAGGCAGCAGUGGGGAAUAUUGGACAAUGGACCGAGAGUCUGAUCCAGCAAUUCUGUGUGCACGAUGAAGUUUUUCGGAAUGUAAAGUGCUUUCAGUUGGGAAGAAACAAAUGACGGUACCAACAGAAGAAGUGACGGCUAAAUACGUG